rnacentral:rRNA from 1 species
UACGAAGGGGGCUAGCGUUGUUCGGAAUUACUGGGCGUAAAGCGCACGCAGGCGGCUUGUUAAAUUAGAAGUGAAAGCCCUGGGCUCAACCCGGGAAUUGCUUUUAAGACUGGCAAGCUUGAAUCCGGAAGAGGGUAGUGGAAUUCCCAGUGUAGAGGUGAAAUUCGUAGAUAUUGGGAGGAACACCAGUGGCGAAGGCGACUGCCUGGUCCGGCAUUGACGCUCAUGUGCGAAAGCGUGGGGAGCAAACAGG